AUUGAACGCUGGCGGCAUGCCUAACACAUGCAAGUCGAACGGCAGCGCGGGUAGCUUGCUACCUGGCGGCGAGUGGCGGACGGGUGAGUAAUGCAUAGGAAUCUGCCCAGUAGCGGGGGAUAGCCCGGGGAAACCCGGAUUAAUACCGCAUACGCCCUACGGGGGAAAGCAGGGGAUCUUCGGACCUUGCACUAUUGGAUGAGCCUAUGUCUGAUUAGCUUGUUGGUAGGGUAACGGCCUACCAAGGCGACGAUCAGUAGCUGGUCUGAGAGGACGAUCAGCCACACCGGAACUGAGACACGGUCCGGACUCCUACGGGAGGCAGCAGUGGGGAAUAUUGGACAAUGGGGAAGCCCUGAUCCAGCAAUGCCGCGUGUGUGAAGAAGGCCUGCGGGUUGUAAAGCACUUUCAGUUGGGAAGAAACAGCGACCGGCUAAUAUCCGGUUGUCUUGACGUAACCAACAGAAGAAGCACCGGCUAACUCCGUGCCAGCAGCCG
rnacentral:rRNA from 1 species